AGCAGUAGCCGCGGGAAUACGUAGGGCGCAAGCGUUAUCCGGAAUUAUUGGGCGUAAAGAGCUCGUAGGCGGUUUGUCGCGUCUGCCGUGAAAGUCCGGGGCUCAACCCCGGAUCUGCGGUGGGUACGGGCAGACUAGAGUGAUGUAGGGGAGACUGGAAUUCCUGGUGUAGCGGUGAAAUGCGCAGAUAUCAGGAGGAACACCGAUGGCGAAGGCAGGUCUCUGGGCAUUAACUGACGCUGAGGAGCGAAAGCAUGGGGAGCGAACAGGAUUAGAUACCCGCGUAGUCCCUGUCUCUUAUAC
rnacentral:rRNA from 1 species